UACGAAGGGGGCUAGCGUUGCUCGGAAUCACUGGGCGUAAAGGGCGCGUAGGCGGCUUUGUAAGUCGGGGGUGAAAGCCUGUGGCUCAACCACAGAAUUGCCUUCGAUACUGCAUGGCUUGAGACCGGAAGAGGUAAGUGGAACUGCGAGUGUAGAGGUGAAAUUCGUAGAUAUUCGCAAGAACACCAGUGGCGAAGGCGGCUUACUGGUCCGGUUCUGACGCUGAGGCGCGAAAGCGUGGGGAGCAAACAGG
rnacentral:rRNA from 1 species